rnacentral:rRNA from 1 species
AGAGUUUGAUCAUGGGCUCAGAACGAACGCUGGCGGCAGGCCUAACACAUGCAAGUCGAGCGGGGACUUCGGUCCUAGCGGCGGACGGGUGAGUAACGCGUGGGAACGUGCCCUUUGCUUCGGAAUAGCCCCUGGAAACGGGGAGUAAUACCGGAUGUGCCCUAUGGGGGGAAAAGAAUUUUCGGCAAAGGAUCGGCCCGCGUUGGAUUAGGUAGUUGGUGGGGGUAAUGGCCUACCAAGCCGACGAUCCAUAGCUGGUUUGAGAGGAUGAUCAGCCACACUGGGACUGAGACACGGCCCAGACUCCUACGGGAGGCAGCAGUGGGGAAUCUUAGACAAUGGGCGCAAGCCUGAUCUAGCCAUGCCGCGUGAGCGAUGAAGGCCUUAGGGUUGUAAAGCUCUUUCGUGGGGGAAGAUAAUGACGGUACCGCAAGAAUAAGCCCCGGCUAACUUCGUG